rnacentral:rRNA from 1 species
GAUGAACGCUGACAGAAUGCUUAACACAUGCCAGUCUUUGGCGAAGCUGUGCUUGCACCGCCUAGCCAAGGCGGACGGGUGAGUAACGCGUAAGGAACUUGCCCUGCAGUCAGGGAUAACAGACGGAAACGACUGAUAAGACCUGGUAAAGUCAGGCGGACUCAUGUCCAGCCUGAUGAAAAGAGAUGCUGCAGGAGAGCCUUGCGUCCUAUUAGCUUGUUGGUGGGGUAACGGCCCACCAAGGCGAUGAUAGGUAGCCGGCCUGAGAGGGUGGACGGCCACAAGGGGACUGAGAUACGGCCCUUACUCCUACGGGAGGCAGCAGUGGGGAAUAUUGGACAAUGGGGGCAACCCUGAUCCAGCAAUUCUGUGUGCAAGAUGAAGGUUUUCGGAGUGUAAAGGGCUUUCAGCAGGGAAGAAAAAAAUGACGGUACCUGCAGAAGAAGCGACGGCUAAAUACGUG